UUAAAAAAAAAACUAAAAAAGCUCUCAACCUCUCCCUUCUCCUCCGGGCACCAGCCUAAAGCCCGGUCAUCGGCCGGUCACUGGCCACGGCGCCUGCCGUCGAUCUCCGGCGCCGACAUCGCCGUAUGCGGUGGCCGGAAAAGGGAAAAUUUAGAUCCGAUCCCUCCAAAGCCCUUAAACAUAAAUCCAGGCUCAAAACCCUCAAAAGAUUCAUAAAAACACCUCAAAAGCCCAAAAACCUUUCGAUUUCUGGCCAUCUUUCCUCGAAGACGGUUCAUCGGCCGUUCACGGCGAUCGGGGCUCAAAACACAGGUUGUUUCUUCUUUUUUUUUCCUAUUUAUUUUAGUACCAUGGGAAUAUAAAAAAAACCGUAAACGAAAGUAAGCAAAAAUGUAGACCUUUAGAUUGGUUUCUUGCUUUCUCGGUAUUUGACUAUCUGUUGGUAUAAGAAUAACUGCUCUUUCUUAUUGAUUUUCCAAUUUCGGAUCCUUAUUACAGUGUUCUUAAUGGCUUUUUAUAGCCGAAAUAAGAAUAAAAAUAAAUCAAAAGAAAAUCUGUUUGAUCUGCAAAUCUUUGAUUUUCUUUCCUUUUGCUGUUUGUUUCCUUGCAGGUGGAGAUCGCGGAGAUUCGGAGGACUUGUCUUGCGGCGCUAUUGAAGAUUAGAAACCCUAAGGUUUCUGACGAUCUUGGGCCACCGCAAAUUGGGCCUGUGUUUUAUUUUUGGGCCAUAUAGGCCUACUUGUAAU
rnacentral:lncRNA from 1 species